rnacentral:rRNA from 1 species
AUUAGAUAAAAAACCAACGCGGUUCGCCGCUCCCUUGGUGAUUCAUAAUAACUUCUCGAAUCGCAUGGCCUUGUGCCGGCGAUGGUUCAUUCAAAUUUCUGCCCUAUCAACUUUCGAUGGUAGGAUAGUGGCCUACCAUGGUGGCAACGGGUAACGGGGAAUUAGGGUUCGAUUCCGGAGAGGGAGCCUGAGAAACGGCUACCACAUCCAAGGAAGGCAGCAGGCGCGCAAAUUACCCAAUCCCGAUACGGGGAGGUAGUGACAAUAAAUACUGAUACGGGGCUCUUUUGGGUCUCGUAAUUGGAAUGAGAACAAUUUAAAUCCCUUAACGAGGAACAAUUGGAGGGCAAGUCUGGUGCCAGCAGCCGCGGUAAUUCCAGCUCCAAUAGCGUAUAUUAAAGUUGUUGCAGUUAAAAAGCUCGUAGUUGAACCUUGGCCCUGGCUGGCCGGUCCGCCUCACCGCGAGUACUGGUCCGGCUGGGGCUUUCCUUCUGGGGAACCUCAUGGCCUUCACUGGC